CAAAUGAUUAUUUCCUUCCCUCGAAUGUAUACACAUUUGCAAAGCCCUACGCACAAUUCUAAUUUUCAACCCCAUUCAAUUCACCUUUUGUUGUCUUUUUUCGCUUUCCAAAUCUCUCCUUUUCCAUCAAAAUCUCACACUUCCUCACUAAUUUCUCAGUUUAAAGUUGUGUUCUUUGAUGUGAGUAAAGUAGCUUUAUGAUGGAACAAAGUUAUGUUUCUAAUGCUAAUGUUCCAAAUGGAUCCACUAUUGAUAAGACUAGGGUUUUAGAGGUAAAGCCUUUGAGAUGUCUUUCACCGGUGUUUCCAUCUCCAAACGGAAUGUCAUCUGUUUCAACACCACAACCCUCACCUUUUGUGUGUAUUACUCCGAAUGGUCCGUACCCGCCUGGGGUUACGCCAUUUUACCCUUUUGUGGCUCAGAAUGAGUCUGGAAGGCAUUGUGAAAGUAGUCAACAAGCCACAAAUCACGGGCAGAAUCAGGGAAAUUUUGGUUUUGGGACACCUAUUAAUCCAGCUCCUGUUAAUUCACUCAAGAAUGCAACUGCGAAUGGGAGGAAUGUGCAUGAAGGCACCGGUACUGGAAGAAAAAAGGGUGUAGCAAAAAAGCCGCGAAAAUCUCUUGAGAAUAUUGUGGAAGUGAAUGUUGAACCUCUAUUAAAUCAACUGCUGAUGUCUUUUAGACUUGUUGAAUUGGAUCAGGCCAAGAGAGCUGAUGGUGACAAGGAGCUAGUGGGGAGGAUACUAAUGGUUUUUGACUUGUUCAGAAGGAGGAUGACCCAAAUGGAUGAACCAAGGUAUGGUGCAGGUUCUGGUAGAAGGCCAGACUUAAAAGCUUCUAAGAUGAUGAUGACAAAGGGAGUUCGUACAAACCAAAUGAAGAGGAUUGGAAAUGUAACGGGGAUUGAAGUUGGUGACAUUUUCUUCUUCAGGAUGGAACUAUGCUUAGUGGGGUUGCAUGCACCAACUAUGUCUGGAAUAGAUUAUAUGAGUGUCAAACUAACAAAGGAUGAAGAACCUCUUGCUGUCAGUGUCGUGUCUGCUGGAGGAUAUGAAGAUGAUGGAGGUGAUGGAGAUAUGUUUAUUUACACUGGCCAAGGUGGAGUCCAGAGGAAGGAUGGACAAAUGUUUGAUCAGAAACUUGAAAAGGGUAAUCUUGCUUUGGAAAAGAGCGUGCGUCGUGCCAAUCCGGUAAGAGUAGUUAGGGGCGUUAAGGAUGUUGCAAAUCCAACUGGCAAGAUCUAUAUUUAUGACGGACUUUAUAAGAUUCAGGAAUCAUGGGAAGAGAAAAAUAAGUCGGGCCUCAAUGUCUUCAAGUACAAAUUUCUGAGAGUACCUGGGCAGCCUGAAGCAUUUAAAUUAUGGAAGUCAAUCCAGCAAUGGAGGGAUGGUGUAACGUCACGUGGUGGAGUCAUCCUACCAGACCUUACAUCUGGUGCAGAGAGUCGGCCAGUUGGUCUUGUUAAUGAUGUAGAUGACGAGAAAGGACCUGCAUAUUUCGCAUAUAUUCCUAGUCUGAAGUACUCAAAACCUUUCUUAAUGCCUAGACCCUCUCUGGGUUGUCCCUGCCUUGAUGGGUGCCAACCAGAUGACUCCAACUGCCCUUGUAUUCAGAGGAAUGGAGGCCUUCUGCCUUAUAGUUCCCUUGGCGUUCUUAUGAGUUACAAAACCUUGAUACAUGAGUGUGGUUCAGCCUGUUCAUGCCCUCCAAAUUGCCGAAAUCGCAUGUCUCAAGGAGGUCUGAAAGUUCAUUUGGAGGUCUUUAAAACAAGAAAUAAAGGUUGGGGACUCAGGUCUUGGGAUCCGAUACGAGCAGGUGCUUUUAUUUGUGAAUAUGCUGGAGAAGUCAUUGAUGCUGGUAAUGACAUUGAUGACAAUUACAUUUUUGAUGCUACCCGUAUAUAUGAGCAGCCAUUGGAAGCUGUUCAUGAUUAUAAUGAUGAGUCUCGGAAAGUCCCUUUUCCCCUUGUAAUAAGUGCCAAAAAUGGUGGAAAUGUUGCUCGUUUUAUGAACCAUAGUUGUUCACCUAAUGUAUACUGGCAGCUUGUUGUACGAGAAAGUAACAAUGAGGCAUACUACCAUAUCGCCUUUUUUGCCAUUAGACACAUUCCUCCCAUGCAAGAGUUGACCUAUGAUUAUGGUAUGAACAAAGUAGAUCACAGGAGAAAGAGGUGCUUAUGUGGCUCAUUGAACUGUAGAGGUUAUUUUUACUAGUCUUCAAGAUGCGAUGAUAAAAAGGAAGUUUGAUUGUCACAAAUCUGCUGGAUCAGCAACUUCAUGCAAAAAAAGCAUGCGUUAAGCUACGAAUAAAACCCUUUUUCCCCAGGUCUUUGGUCGGUUAGAGCGCACCACAUGAUGUGCAGGUUAGACGGACGUCACAGGUUCAAAUCAAGCCGUGGACUGAUCAUUAUAGUUUUGAGUUGAACUGAUCAAAUCGAGCCGAUGUUAAGAUAAUACAACUCAACUUGAGCUUGUGUUGAAAUCUGCUUGGCUUACAAAAUUCUAGCUUUUCUUUCUUUCCUGACCGACCACCAUAUCAUUUCAUCUAGGUAAUUUUUCGUGUUUUCUGCGCUAUCUGUUUGCAGGCGUAUACCAGUCAUAGCUACUUGCCACAUGUAAAUAUUCUCCACGCAAUAUCUAUAGUCCUUUUUAUCCAGGAAUUUGGCUUUGUCAGCGCCUCUCAGUAGUCACUUAAUCACCACCACGCUAUAGUAGUCUCCGAUGAUUUACUUUCAAGUGUGCUCUCCGAUUGAGGAGUGCUUCUUAGGCCAAGAAUCAUAGGAUCCGUGGGAGUUUGGAAUCUUAAAUCUCUUAAUCGCGUCUUGUAGUGGACUGUAAAAGCAAAAUAGGUGGUUUGUACAGUUAGGUCAUCAAAGUUUAGACCUGAAUUUAUGUGUUUAUUUUUCCAGUGUACCGUAAAAACUAACUUGUAUUCAAAACAACCAGUAUAUGUAUGUGGUUUUCAUGCAUUUUUGUGAA